GAUGAACGCUGGCGGCGUGCCUAAUACAUGCAAGUCGAGCGAACAGACGAGGAGCUUGCCCCUUCGACGUUAGCGGCGGACGGGUGAGUAACACGUAGGUAACCUACCUAUAAGACUGGGAUAACUUCGGGAAACCGGAGCUAAUACCGGAUAAUAUUUCGAACCGCAUGGUUCGAUAGUGAAAGAUGGCUUUGCUAUCACUUAUAGAUGGACCUGCGCCGUAUUAGCUAGUUGGUAAGGUAACGGCUUACCAAGGCAACGAUACGUAGCCGACCUGAGAGGGUGAUCGGCCACACUGGAACUGAGACACGGUCCAGACUCCUACGGGGGGCAGCAGUAGGGAAUCUUCCGCAAUGGGCGAAAGCCUGACGGAGCAACGCCGCGUGAGUGAUGAAGGUCUUCGGAUCGUAAAACUCUGUUAUUAGGGAAGAACAAACGUGUAAGUAACUGUGCACGUCUUGACGGUACCUAAUCAGAAAGCCACGGCUAACUACGUG
rnacentral:rRNA from 1 species